UUAAAGCAACAGAUGUACCAGAUUCCCAUACGACAGUGGAUGAUAGUCAUCCAGGACCCUCAGGGGUGGGAACCAGUCAGAAACAAAAGUCAAGUUGGCUAGGACCCUCAGUACAAAAACUUCAGAGAAGGGAACAGAGAAUUGUUGAUAUAGAGGGUACAGAAGAGAGAAGCACUUUAGUCCACAAUGAAACUGGAGAGAAUGAGAAGAAGGGCUUUGAGAGUUCUGUUUCUGAACCUUGGGAAUGCCAUUAGUCACUGUGAAAAGGAUCCUUCUGGUAAUUGUUAUAAGGCUCCAGUCGAAGGCUUUCAUUCUGAAGAAGGCAUCAGAGGUAGCUCAGAAUCUGCUACACC